GAGUUUGAUCGUGGCUCAGAUUGAACGCUGGCGGCAUGCCUUACACAUGCAAGUCGAACGGCAGCAUGAUCUAGCUUGCUAGAUUGAUGGCGAGUGGCGAACGGGUGAGUAAUACAUCGGAACGUGCCCUGUAGUGGGGGAUAACUAGUCGAAAGAUUAGCUAAUACCGCAUACGACCUGAGGGUGAAGGUGGGGGACCGGCAAGGCCUCAUGCUAUAGGAGCGGCCGAUGUCUGAUUAGCUAGUUGGUGGGUAAAGGCCCACCAAGGCGACGAUCAGUAGCUGGUCUGAGAGGACGAUCAGCCACACUGGGACUGAGACACGGCCCAGACUCCUACGGGAGGCAGCAGUGGGGAAUUUUGGACAAUGGGCGAAAGCCUGAUCCAGCAAUGCCGCGUGUGUG
rnacentral:rRNA from 1 species